GUGGGGAAUAUUGGACAAUGGGCGCAAGCCUGAUCCAGCCAUGCCGCGUGAGUGAUGAAGGCCCUAGGGUUGUAAAGCUCUUUCACCGGUGAAGAUAAUGACGGUAACCGGAGAAGAAGCCCCGGCUAACUUCGUGCCAGCAGCCGCGGUAAUACGAAGGGGGCUAGCGUUGUUCGGAAUUACUGGGCGUAAAGCGCACGUAGGCGGACUGGUCAGUUAGGGGUUAAAUCCCAGGGCUCAACCCUGGAACUGCCUUUAAUACUGCCAGUCUAGAGUUCGAGAGAGGUGAGUGGAAUUCCGAGUGUAGAGGUGAAAUUCGUAGAUAUUCGGAGGAACACCAGUGGCGAAGGCGGCUCACUGGCUCGAUACUGACGCUGAGGUGCGAAAGCGUGGGGAGCAAACAGGAUUAGAAACCCUAGUAGUCC
rnacentral:rRNA from 1 species